GACAGAGGAUGCAAGCGUUAUCCGGAAUGAUUGGGCGUAAAGCGUCUGUAGGUGGCUUUUUAAGUCCGCCGUCAAAUCCCAGGGCUCAACCCUGGCCUUGCAGUGGAUACGGGCAGACUAGAGGUAGGUAGGGGAGAAUGGAAUUCCCGGUGGAGCGGUGAAAUGCGUAGAGAUCGGAAAGAACACCAACGGCGAAAGCACUCUGCUGGGCCGACACUGACACUGAGAGACGAAAGCUAGGGGAGCGAAUGGG
rnacentral:rRNA from 1 species